UACGGAGGAUACGAGCGUUAUCCGGAUUUAUUGGGUUUAAAGGGUGCGUAGGUGGCAGAUUAAGUCAGUGGUGAAAAGCUGUGGCUCAACCAUAGUCUUGCCGUUGAAACUGGUUUGCUUGAGUACAGUUGAUGUAGGCGGAAUGCGUAGUGUAGCGGUGAAAUGCAUAGAUAUUACGCAGAACUCCGAUUGCGAAGGCAGCUUACAAAAGUGUAACUGACACUGAUGCACGAAAGCGUGGGUAUCAAACAGG
rnacentral:rRNA from 1 species